ensembl:snRNA U6 U6 spliceosomal RNA
GUGCUCACUUCAGCAGUGCAUAUACUAAAAUUGGAAUGAUACAGAAAAGAUUAGCACAGCCCCUGCACAAGCAUGCCUCCUGCACAAGCAUGGCACACAAAGUCAUGAAGAGGUCCAUAAUUUU